rnacentral:rRNA from 1 species
UGAACGCUGGCGGCGUGCCUAAUACAUGCAAGUCGAGCGAACAGGCGAGGAGCUUGCUCCUCUGACGUUAGCGGCGGACGGGUGAGUAACACGUGGAUAACCUACCUAUAAGACUGGGAUAACUUCGGGAAACCGGAGCUAAUACCGGAUAAUAUAUUGAACCGCAUGGUUCAAUAGUGAAAGACGGUUUUGCUGUCACUUAUAGAUGGAUCCGCGCCGCAUUAGCUAGUUGGUAAGGUAACGGCUUACCAAGGCAACGAUGCGUAGCCGACCUGAGAGGGUGAUCGGCCACACUGGAACUGAGACACGGUCCAGACUCCUACGGGAGGCAGCAGUAGGGAAUCUUCCGCAAUGGGCGAAAGCCUGACGGAGCAACGCCGCGUGAGUGAUGAAGGUCUUCGGAUCGUAAAACUCUGUUAUUAGGGAAGAACAAAUGUGUAAGUAACUAUGCACGUCUUGACGGUACCUAAUCAGAAAGCCACGGCUAACUACGUG